rnacentral:rRNA from 1 species
UACGAAGGGGGCUAGCGUUGCUCGGAAUUACUGGGCGUAAAGGGCGCGUAGGCGGACAGUUAAGUCAGAGGUGAAAGCCCAGGGCUCAACCCUGGAAUUGCCUUUGAUACUGGCUGUCUUGAGUAUGGGAGAGGUGAGUGGAACUCCGAGUGUAGAGGUGAAAUUCGUAGAUAUUCGGAAGAACACCAGUGGCGAAGGCGACUAUCUGGGCUGCAACUGACGCUGAGGCGCGAAGGCUAGGGUAGCAAACAGG